rnacentral:rRNA from 1 species
CCCCUAGAUGUUCUGGGCCGCACGCGCGCUACACUGAACAGUUCAACAAGUCUUAACCUUGGCCGAUAGGUCUGGGUAAUCUUUGAACGCUGUUCGUGAUUGGGAUAGACCUUUGCAAUUAUGGGUCUUCAACGAGGAAUUCCUAGUAAACGCAAGUCAUCAGCUUGCAUUGAUUACGUCCCUGCCCUUUGUACACACCGCCCGUCGCACCUACCGAUUGAGUGAUCCGGUGAAUUAGUCGGAUGGUGUUUGGCAUCAGUAUCUGCUGUCAUACGCCAGAAGUCUUGUGAACCUUAUCACUUAGAGGAAGGAGAAGUCGUAACA